AGUGAACGCUGGCGGUAGGCCUAACACAUGCAAGUCGAACGGCAGCACAGUAAGAGCUUGCUCUUACGGGUGGCGAGUGGCGGACGGGUGCGGAAUACAUCGGAAUCUACUUUUUCGUGGGGGAUAACGUAGGGAAACUUACGCUAAUACCGCAUACGACCUACGGGUGAAAGCAGGGGAUCUUCGGACCUUGCGCGAGUGAAUGAGCCGAUGUCGGAUUAGCUAGUUGGCGGGGUAAAGGCCCACCAAGGCGACGAUCCGUAGCUGGUCUGAGAGGAUGAUCAGCCACACUGGAACUGAGACACGGUCCAGACUCCUACGGGAGGCAGCAGUGGGGAAUAUUGGACAAUGGGCGCAAGCCUGAUCCAGCCAUACCGCGUGGGUGAAGAAGGCCUUCGGGUUGUAAAGCCCUUUUGUUGGGAAAGAAAAGCAGCAGGUUAAUACCCCGCUGUUCUGACGGUACCCAAAGAAUAAGCACCGGCUAACUUCGUG
rnacentral:rRNA from 1 species